AUGAAUCUUGUAAGCUAUGAAUAUGUUGCCUGUCAAGAAUCAAAUAAAGGUGUUCUGAUACUGAGUGAGUUUGCAUGGGCAGCGCAAUCUCUUGGGGCUGGUGCUAUUGUAGUAAACCCAUGGAAUACUGCGGAAGUAGCAGGGGCAAUAAAACAUGCUUUGGAUAUGUUACCUGAUGAAAGGGAGCGACGUCACAAGCAUAAUUAUAAAAUUGUGUCAGCACACACUGCACAAGAGUGGGCAAAAAACUAUGUCUGGCAGCUAAAUGAUGCAGCAAUUAAAGCUCCGUUAGGAACAGGAGAAAGUCUUCUUGGACUCCCUAUUGAAGAAGCAGCUGAACAAUACGCACAAUCCAAAAGUCGGUUACUCAUAUUGGGUUUUAAUGCGACAUUGACUGAACAGGUCCAAUCUUCUGAGAGAAGGGCUACUGACCAAACCGGGAACACGACACUCAAGUUGAACUCUGGGUUGAAGGGAGCCCUGAAAACCCUUUGUGAUAAUGAGCAUACAACUGUCAUUGUUGUCAGUGGUUAUGGCAAAGAUGUUCUCCAUGAAAAUUUUGGAGAAUUUAAAAUGUGGUUGGCGGCAGAGAAUGGGAUGUUUCUACGACUAAAUGGUGAAGAAUGGUUCACCACAUCAUCUGGACAACUGGAAAUUGGCUUCCGUGAUAGCGUAAAGAAAGUUAUGGAAUACUUCACUAAAAGAACCCCGGAGUCUUAUUGUGAACCACGUGAAACAUCAAUUGUGUGGAACUAUGAAUAUGCAGAGGAUCAUUUUGGAACAAAUCAGGCAAAUGAUAUGCUACAGCACUUGGGGGCAUAUUCAUUGUCAAAUCAAAGUGCUGAGGUUGUUCAAGGCAGCCGGUCAAUUGAAGUGCGCCCUGUGGGAGUCACCAAGGGUAAUGCCAUCGAUAAAAUUAUGCAAGAGUUAGGUCACAGGAAAAUCAUAACCACUCCAAUUGAUUAUGUCUUGUGCAUUGGCCACUUCCUUGCGAAGGAUGAAGACGUCUAUACCUUACCCCAAUUUGAUGUUGAACCUGAAUCGGAAAGAAAAGCAAAGGUGUGGCAAGCAGAUAUCAUGAACAUCAAGUUUAACCUGAAACGUGACAAGUACUUCUCGUGCACUGUUGGGAGGGAAUGUUCUCUAGCACGGUACAAGCUCGAGGGAGCUAGUGAAGUCGCCUCCUUACUGCACAAUCUUGCAUCUGCUGACCGAGGAGAACGUGACGACUCUCGUCCCACGAAGAGACAAAAAGAAGAUCAUGAUUCAGGAGCUAUGAGCGAGUAG
rnacentral:rRNA from 1 species